rnacentral:rRNA from 1 species
GACAGAGGGUGCGAACGUUGUUCGGAAUUACUGGGCGUAAAGCGCGUGUAGGCGGUCCUGCAAGUCGGAUGUGAAAGCCCUCGGCUCAACCGGGGAAGUGCACCCGAAACUGCAGGACUAGAGUCUCGGAGAGGAUAGUGGAAUUCUCGGUGUAGAGGUGAAAUUCGUAGAUAUCGAGAGGAACACCGGUGGCGAAGGCGGCUAUCUGGACGGUGACUGACGCUGAGACGCGAAAGCGUGGGGAGCAAACAGG